GAUGAACGCUGGCGGCGUGCCUAAUACAUGCAAGUCGAGCGAACAGACGAGGAGCUUGCUCCUCUGACGUUAGCGACGGACGGGUGAGUAACACGUGGAUAACCUACCUAUAAGACUGGGAUAACUUCGGGAAACCGGAGCUAAUACCGGAUAAUAUAUUGAACCGCAUGGUUCAAUAGUGAAAGACGGUUUUGCUGUCACUUAUAGAUGGAUCCGCGCCGCAUUAGCUAGUUGGUAAGGUAACGGCUUACCAAGGCAACGAUGCGUAGCCGACCUGAGAGGGUGAUCGGCCACACUGGAACUGAGACACGGUCCAGACUCCUACGGGAGGCAGCAGUAGGGAAUCUUCCGCAAUGGGCGAAAGCUUGACGGAGCAACGCCGCGUGAGUGAUGAAGGUCUUCGGAUCGUAAAACUCUGUUAUUAGGGAAGAACAAAUGUGUAAGUAACUAUGCACGUCUUGACGGAACCUAAUCAGAAAGCCACGGCUAACUACGUG
rnacentral:rRNA from 1 species